rnacentral:rRNA from 1 species
UACGUAGGGGGCUAGCGUUAUCCGGAUUUACUGGGCGUAAAGGGUGCGUAGGUGGUUUCUUAAGUCAGAAGUGAAAGGCUACGGCUCAACCGUAGUAAGCUUUUGGAACUGUAAGACUUGAGUGCAGGAGAGGAGAGUGGAAUUCCUAGUGUAGCGGUGAAAUGCGUAGAUAUUAGGAGGAACACCAGUAGCGAAGGCGGCUCUCUGGACUGUAACUGACGCUGAGUCACGAAAGCAUGGGGAGCAAACAGGAUUAGAUACCCUGGUAGUCCCU